rnacentral:rRNA from 1 species
GACGGAGGAUGCAAGCGUUAUCCGGAGUUAUUGGGCGUAAAGCGUCCGUAGGCGGUUGAAUAAGUCAGCUGUUAAAGACUGGGGCUUAACCCUGGGGUUGCAGCUGAGACUGUUUGACUAGAGAGCGGUAGGGGUAGAGGGAAUUCCUAGUGUAGCGGUGAAAUGCGUAGAUAUUAGGAAGAACACCAGUGGCGAAGGCGCUCUACUGGGCCGUUACUGACGCUGAUGGACGAAAGCUAGGGGAGCGAAGGGG